rnacentral:pre_miRNA from 1 species
GGCGAAUGUCGGUAUGGUCUCUUUUUCAAAAGAGGUUUCGAUCAAGCGAAGUGACUAGACCGAACACUCGUGCU